rnacentral:lncRNA from 1 species
UUUGAGCAUGGUGUCCAGCACAUUCCAGGAGCCCGGUAUACCCCAGGUGCCUACUGAAAAAGUCAUUUUACCUAGAUGUCAAACUCUCCCUGUAAAACUCACCAUGUCCUCCUUGGCUUUUGUCUUCGUGGGCACCAGGGGCAGCAAGGUUUCCUGAGUGAGAUCUCUAUAAUGGAGGCAGACUUCAGGCCCUCAAGUCAGACGUG